CACGAACGCUGGCGGCAGGCUUAACACAUGCGAGUCGAGCGCCCCGCAAGGGGAGCGGCAGACGGGUGAGUAACGCGUGGGAAUCUACCCAUCUCUACGGAAUAACGCAUGGAAACGGGUGCUAAUACCGUAUACGUCCUUCGGGAGAAAGAUUUAUCGGAGAUGGAUGAGCCCGCGUUGGAUUAGCUAGUUGGUGGGGUAAAGGCCUACCAAGGCGACGAUCCAUAGCUGGUCUGAGAGGAUGAUCAGCCACACUGGGACUGAGACACGGCCCAGACUCCUACGGGAGGCAGCAGUGGGGAAUAUUGGACAAUGGGCGCAAGCCUGAUCCAGCCAUGCCGCGUGAGUGAUGAAGGCCCUAGGGUUGUAAAGCUCUUUCACCGGUGAAGAUAAUGACGGUAACCGGAGAAGAAGCCCCGGCUAACUUCGUGCCAGCCGCCGCCGUAAUAC
rnacentral:rRNA from 1 species